AGAGGUGGAGGGGAGGCAAGAUGUUGGCAUAGCUGUUGACCUGGAAACCUGCUAUGCCAACAUAUUGUCAUCUUUCCUG
rnacentral:pre_miRNA from 1 species